rnacentral:pre_miRNA from 1 species
AGCUUCUUGAAUCCCUGCAGAGAUUUCCUCAGAUACCAACCUAUUAGGGUUGAUCAGACUUCCAAGAUAAGUAAAGUU